rnacentral:lncRNA from 1 species
UGAAUAAGUGGUCCAGAAGAAUAUUCUCCCAUUUGUGGUUUGUUGUAAGAUUUUGAUUUCUUCACCUUCAUUGUUAGAAUUAUUUUAAUUAGACAUUCUAAAAGAUAUCUUAUCACAUUUUCUCUCUCAACCAUUUGCGUGAAGACUUUACUCAUUGGAACCCCUGCUAUAUCCCCCUUUCCAUUCUCACUAAUGGACACAUUGUAACUAUACAACCUUGUUCUCUCAUUCUCCCUCCAAGUCUAAUCCAUGCUUUAAUUGCACCAUGGUAGAGCUAUACAUAGCCUAAUCCCCACCUCAAACAC